rnacentral:rRNA from 1 species
UGGGGAAUUUUGGACAAUGGGCGAAAGCCUGAUCCAGCAAUGCCGCGUGCGUGGAGAAGGCAUUCGGGUUGUAAAGCACUUUUGUCCGGAAAGAAAUCCUUGGCUCUAAUACAGUCGGGGGAUGACGGUACCGGAAGAAUAAGCACCGGCUAACUACGUGCCAGCAGCCGCGGUAAUACGUAGGGUGCAAGCGUUAAUCGGAAUUACUGGGCGUAAAGCGUGCGCAGGCGGUUUGCUAAGACCGAUGUGAAAUCCCCGGGCUCAACCUGGGAACUGCAUUGGUGACUGGCAGGCUAGAGUAUGGCAGAGGGGGGUAGAAUUCCACGUGUAGCAGUGAAAUGCGUAGAGAUGUGGAGGAAUACCGAUGGCGAAGGCAGCCCCCUGGGCCAAUACUGACGCUCAUGCACGAAAGCGUGGGGAGCAAACAGGAUUAGAUACCCUGGUAGUCCACGCCCUAAACGAUGUCAACUAGUUGUUGGGGAUUCAUUUCCUUAGUAACGUAGCUAACGCGUGAAGUUGACCACCUGGGGGAGUAC